rnacentral:rRNA from 1 species
CCUACGGGCGGCAGCAGUGGGGAAUAUUGGACAAUGGGCGAAAGCCUGAUCCAGCCAUGCCGCGUGUGUGAAGAAGGCCUUCGGGUUGUAAAGCACUUUCAGUGGGGAAGAAAGCCUUGGGGCUAAUACCCUCGAGGAAGGACAUCACCCACAGAAGAAGCACCGGCUAACUCCGUGCCAGCAGCCGCGGUAAUACGGAGGGUGCGAGCGUUAAUCGGAAUUACUGGGCGUAAAGCGCGCGUAGGCGGUCUGAUAAGCCGGUUGUGAAAGCCCCGGGCUCAACCUGGGAACGGCAUCCGGAACUGCCAGGCUAGAGUGCAGGAGAGGAAGGUAGAAUUCCCGGUGUAGCGGUGAAAUGCGUAGAGAUCGGGAGGAAUACCAGUGGCGAAGGCGGCCUUCUGGACUGACACUGACGCUGAGGUGCGAAAGCGUGGGUAGCAAACAGGAUUAGAUACCCUUGUAGUC